AGAAAAUAUUUAAAAAGUCAACCUGCCAUCUCUCCUGCCCUGCUCGUCCAAGUUCCCACUCUAGUUCCAGUACUGGCAGGCUUCACCACUAUAUCCCAGCAGGGUCCUGCUUGGCAUGUUCUCCCAGGUAUCUUCUGAGAGGUUGUUCUCUCUCCACUUCUCAUUCAAGUCUGAAGAUGCUUACAGUCACCUGCAGUACUUCUAAAUCAGAGUUUUGAGAUGGAAGAGGUCACAGCUCCAAUGAUCUCAGCCGAAGAAGAUGAGGAAGAAGACCAGCACAAGUGCUACGACUCAGUGACCUCAUGGGAAACCGUGGGGAGAGAUAGCAUUCAAGAAGGAACAUGGGGAAGAGUAUCCAGAGUACAGAGUGGAAGCCUUUGCCCUCCUCUUUCAGCUCUCCAAGGAAUGUCUUCCUGCCCGGUGUCCUGGACAACUGCCUGUCUUUAGAAUUAACAAAUGCUCUGACUUGCAGAGUCUCUCUCAAAUCAGCUUUUGCUGGUAUCAGGAUUUCUCUGGAGGACUCAACAAAGUCCUCUCCAUGCCUGAGAUUCCUACAAUGAUUGAAAUUCCAUUGUUUCUUCCCCGUGGCAUCCAGCCCACUGUACGCUGUGGCAUUUGGACAGGUUCUUGCCUCGAGUUCCUGCUCUGCCUUCAUUUCACUAUACCUAGAAGCUGAAAUAAACUAUUUCCUCC
rnacentral:lncRNA from 1 species